GAAGUAGAGGUGCGCGUUUUAGGUGUAUCGGCAAAGAGGGGCGGUCUCCUUACGACUUGCCGAAAAGGGAAAACGCGCCGAAGAAAUGCCGGCCGGCCGCGGUCUUGCGUUUCUGGAUGCAACGAGGAGCGGCGUUGUGUCUGUCACGAAACAUUCGUGGAGCGCUGCUCU
rnacentral:ncRNA from 1 species